rfam:Mus musculus chromosome 9, GRC primary reference assembly.
GGAUGCAAGGGGGGCCUGGCUGCAAUAUCUGUCACCUCAUUGAUCACCGGGGUUUGUUUAGAUGUUCUAACUCAAUAAGCAGUGACCCGUUCCUCCCUCACACGCUCUUGGCCAAAGAGGAUGAAGAGCCCACAGAGAUGAAGGUCUCAGUCAAUCGUACACAAGUAGCUGUGUAUCCCCAGUAGAACCUCCAAACGAGCUCUCAUCUCCUUGGAUGUAACAGAAUCUUCCGUAUAUUUAGUGUGAUAGUUUGAAUAAGCAAAGUCCACUUGUGGGCUCAUACUUUGAAAGCUCUGUAGCUUGUGGUACUGCUUGUGGAG